UACGAAGGGGGCGAGCGUUGUUCGGAUUUACUGGGGCGUAAAGGGCGCGCAGGCGGCUCCAAAAGUCAGGCGUGAAAGCCCCGGGCUUAACCUGGGAGGUGCGUCUGGGACUGUGGGGCUAGAGUUCGGGAGAGGAGCGUGGAAUUCCCAGUGUAGAGGUGAAAUUCGUAGAUAUCGGGAGGAACGCCAGUGGCGAAGGCGGCGAUCUGGGAAGAUACUGACGCUGAGGUGCGAAAAGCGUGGGGGAGCAAACAGG
rnacentral:rRNA from 1 species